GAUGAACGCUGGCGGCGUGCUUAACACAUGCAAGUCGAACGAGAAGUGUAGACGGAAACCUUCGGGCGGAAGGCUUUAUUUCGAGUGGCGGACGGGUGAGUAACGCGUGGGUAACCUGCCUCAUACAGGGGGAUAACAGUUGGAAACGACUGUUAAUACCGCAUAAGACCACAGCACCGCAUGGUGCGGGGGUAAAAACUCCGGUGGUAUGAGAUGGACCCGCGUUCGAUUAGCCAGUUGGCGGGGUAACGGCCCACCAAAGCGACGAUCGAUAGCCGAUCUGAGAGGCGGACCGGCCACAUUGGGACUGAGACACGGCCCAAACUCCUACGGGAGGCAGCAGUGGGGAAUAUUGCACAAUGGGGGAAACCCUGAUGCAGCGACGCCGCGUGAGUGAAGAAGUAUUUCGGUAUGUAAAGCUCUAUCAGCAGGGAAGAAAAUGACGGUACCUGAGUAAGAAGCCCCGGCUAACUACGUG
rnacentral:rRNA from 1 species